UUACGGCCACAUAAGGUUGAAACACCGGUUCCCGUACGAUCAGCGGGGUGAAGCAACGUCGAGCCUGGUCCGAACUUAGAUGGGUGACUGCUUGGGAAUACCAGGUGCAGUAAG